rnacentral:rRNA from 1 species
UCAGGAUGAACGCUAGCGGCAGGCCUAACACAUGCAAGUCGCGGGGCAGCACGGGUAGCAAUACCUGGUGGCGACCGGCGCACGGGUGCGUAACGCGUAUGCAACCUGCCCCCCAUCAGGGGAAUAGCCCGCCGAAAGGCGGAUUAACUGCCCCAUAGGCCCAGGGCGCCGCAUGGCGCUAUGGGUAAAGCUCCGGCGGAUGGGGAUGGGCAUGCGUGCCAUUAGCUAGUUGGGGCGGUAACGGCGCACCAAGGCGACGAUGGCUAGGGGGUCUGAGAGGAUGGUCCCCCACACUGGUACUGAGACACGGACCAGACUCCUACGGGAGGCAGCAGUGAGGAAUAUUGGUCAAUGGGCGGAAGCCUGAACCAGCCCAUGCCGCGUGCAGGAUGACGGCCCUACGGGUUGUAAACUGCUUUUCCCCGGGAAGAAUAAGCCCCUCGUGAGGGGUGGUGCCGGUACCGGGGGAAUAAGGAUCGGCUAACUCCGUGCCAGCCGCCGC